UACGGAGGGUGCGAGCGUUGUCCGGAAUCACUGGGCGUAAAGCGCGCGCAGGCGGCUAUCCAAGUCAGUGGUGAAAGCCCGGAGCUCAACUCCGGAACUGCCAUUGAAACUGUUUAGCUUGAGGAUGAGAGAGGUGAGUGGAAUUCCCAGUGUAGAGGUGAAAUUCGUAGAUAUUGGGAAGAACACCGGUGGCGAAGGCGGCUCACUGGCUCAUUACUGACGCUCAGGCGCGAUAGCGUGGGGAUCAAACAGG
rnacentral:rRNA from 1 species